rnacentral:rRNA from 1 species
UCUGUAAAGUUCCUUCGACGAGUCGAGUAGUUUGGGAGUGCUGCUCUAAAUGGGAGGUAUAUGUCUUCUAAAGCUAAAUACCGGCCAGAGACCGAUAGCGCACAAGUAGAGUGAUCGAAAGAUGAAAAGCACUUUGAAAAGAGAGUUAAAAAGUACGUGAAAUUGUUGAAAGGGAAGCGUUUAUGACCAGACUUGGGCUUGGUUAAUCAUCUGGGGUUCUCCCCAGUGCACUUUUCCAGUCCAGGCCAGCAUCAGUUUUCCCCGGGGGAUAAAGACUUCGGGAAUGUGGCUCUCUUCGGGGAGUGUUAUAGCCCGUUGUGUAAUACCCUGGGGGGGACUGAGGUUCGCGCAUCUGCAAGGAUGCUGGCGUAAUGGUCAUCAACGACCCGUCUUGAAACACGGACCAAGGAGUCGUCUUCGUAUGCGAGUGUUCGGGUGUCAAACCCCUACGCGUAAUGAAAGUGAACGCAGGUGAGAGCUUCGGCGCAUCAUCGACCGAUCCUGAUGUUCUCGGAUGGAUUUGAGUAAGAGCAUACGGGGCCGGACCCGAAAGAAGGUGAACUAUGCCUGUAUAGGGUGAAGCCAGAGGAAACUCUGGUGGAGGCUCGCAGCGGUUCUGACGUGCAAAU